CCUACGGGCGGCAGCAGUAGGGAAUCUUCCACAAUGGGCGAAAGCCUGAUGGAGCCACGCCGCGUGGGUGAAGAAGGUCCUCGGAUCCUAAAACCCUGUUUUUAAAGAAAUAAAUUCGUGAGAGUAUCUCUUCACGUUUCUACGUUAUCUAUCCAGAACACCACGGUGAACUACGUGCCAGCAGCCGCGGUAAUACGUAGGUGGCAAGCGUUGUCCUGAUUUAUUGGGCGUAAAGGGAACGCAGGCGGUCUUUUAAGUCUGAUGUGAAAGCCUUCGGCUUAACCGGAGUAGUGCAUUGGAAACUGGGAGACUUGAGUGCCGAAGAGGAGAGUGGAACUCGAUGUGUAGCGGUGAAAUGCGUAGAUAUAUGGAAGAACACCAGUGGCGAAAGCGGCUCUCUGGUCUGUAACUGACGCUGAGGUUCGAAAGCGUGGGUAGCAAACAGGAUUAGAUACCCUAGUAGUC
rnacentral:rRNA from 1 species